rnacentral:rRNA from 1 species
UACGUAGGAGACUAGCGUUGUCCGGAAUUACUGGGUGUAAAGCGCGCGUAGGCGGCAUACCAAGUCUGUUGUGAAAUCCCCCGGCUCAACUGGGCGGGGUCAAUGGAAACUGGUAAGCUGGAGGACGGUAGAGGCGAGUGGAAUUCCCGGUGUAGUGGUGAAAUGCGUAGAGAUCGGGAGGAACACCUGUGGCGAAGGCGGCUAUCUGGACGGUUUCUGACGCUAAGACGCGAAAGCGUGGGGAGCAAACAGG